GAUAAACGCUGGCGGCGCACAUAAGACAUGCAAGUCGAACGGAAGUCGUUAUAAAACAGAGAGAAGAUUUAUCGGAUUGAAGUUUUGUAACAAUGGCUUUAGUGGCGGACUGGUGAGUAACACGUAAGCAAUCUACCUUUCAGAGGGGGAUAACAGCCGGAAACGGCUGCUAAUACCGCAUAAUGCAUCGGAUUCGCAUGUUUCUGAUGCCAAAGAUUUUAUCGCUGAAAGAUGAGCUCGCGUCCGAUUAGCUAGUUGGUGAGGUAACGGCCCACCAAGGCGACGAUCGGUAGCCGGACUGAGAGGUUGAACGGCCACAUUGGGACUGAGACACGGCCCAG
rnacentral:rRNA from 1 species